GAUGAACGCUGGCGGCGUGCCUAAUACAUGCAAGUCGAGCGAACAGACGAGGAGCUUGCUCCUCUGACGUUAGCAGCGGACGGGUGAGUAACACGUGGAUAACCUACCUAUAAGACUGGGAUAACUUCGGGAAACCGGAGCUAAUACCGGAUAAUAUAUUGAACCGCAUGGUUCAAUAGUGAAAGACGGUUUUGCUGUCACUUAUAGAUGGAUCCGCGCCGCAUUAGCUAGUUGGUAAGGUAACGGCUUACCAAGGCAACGAUGCGUAGCCGACCUGAGAGGGUGAUCGGCCACACUGGAACUGAGACACGGUCCGGACUCCUACGGGAGGCAGCAGUAGGGAAUCUUCCGCAAUGGGCGAAAGCCUGACGGAGCAACGCCGCGUGAGUGAUGAAGGUCUUCGGAUCGUAAAACUCUGUUAUUAGGGAAGAACAAAUGUGUAAGUAACUAUGCACGUCUUGACGGUACCUAAUCAGAAAGCCACGGCUAACUACGUG
rnacentral:rRNA from 1 species